rnacentral:lncRNA from 1 species
CAAUUGGGCCAUCUGAUUUGGUCAAUGUGGCUCAUUUGGGCCUGAGUCAGGAUUAGUCCAAGGUCAAUUCGACCUUCUGUCAGUUGAAUUGGGCUUGAAUUGAGCCUGAUUCAUAAUCAAUUAGGUCUGUUGAGACCAACUCUGGUUAAUUGGGUUCGGACCCAUGUNNNNNNNNNNNNNNNNNNNNNNNNNNNNNNNNNNNNNNNNNNNNNNNNNNNNNNNNNNNNNNNNNNNNNNNNNNNNNNNNNNNUUUAGACUUAGCCCAGUCUAAUUGGGCUUGGGUUAGUCAAAUUUGGCUAAACCCAUUUCAUUUUUUUUCUUCUCUUUUCCUUCUUUUUCUUUUUUUCUUUUCCUUUCCCUUUUUUUUCCUUUUCUUCUCUUCUCUUUUUUUUUCCUUUCUUCUCCUUCCCGAAGCUUCUUCUUCUCCUCCCUUCUUCUCUUUCAUCCCGAUCUCCCCUUCCUCUCUUCUCCGACGAAGGGAGGACGGCGAGCGGAAAGGGGGACGGCGAGCGGAAGGGGGCCAGGCCACGAUCGGCGGCGUCCGCGGCCAGGCUCCGCGGCGUCCCCGGCCGAGCCUGUGACGACGAUGCUCGCGGCCGAAGCCGGCGGCCGCCGCACACGACGACGAGGAUGAGUCCCCUCUUCCUCUCUUCUUUUUCUUCUUCCUUUCUUUCUUUCAUUCUUCUUCUUUUCUUCAACCUCCCUUCACCAACCUCCCAUAUUCUCUCUCUCGCUCCCAAACCNNNNNNNNNNNNNNNNNNNNNNNNNNNNNNNNNNNNNNNNNNNNNNNNNNNNNNNNNNNNNNNNNNNNNNNNNNNNNNNNNAUCCUCAGCCGUGCCUGCGACUGAGCCCACGGCCGCGCCCUUGGCCUACCAACAGCCGACGCCCGCACCGACGGGGAUCGCGGCCGUCGCCGGUGGCCCUCGGUCUGCUAGCAGUCCCUUCCUCCCUUCUUUCUUUAUUUCUUUGUUGUCCCGAAAGAAUCCGAGGGAGAGAAGGCAGGGGGCUUACCUAGCUUCCGGGGAUGAACUGCGGUGCCUCCUGCUCCGAUGUUUCAGCCAUCAUCCUAGAAAGUCCUUGGGGAGGAAGGAGAGCGGUAAGGCUCUUUUAGCUAGGGUGAGGUGUCACCCCCAGCUUUCCCCUGUGAAGGACCUAACACCUGGGCCUUCCUCUGAUCCCCACCUGGCCCUAGUCAAAUCCAUGCAUAAAGCAGGAGGUGGCAGCCAUCAAAUGGGCUGCCAACCAUGGGCCCGAUUAGCCUAUUAGAUGUCAUGGCCCAAUGUUCCAAUAUGGGCCCAAAAAGAAGUAAUUGGGCCCAGUUGAUUUUUGGGCCCAGGUAUUACAUUCUUCCCCCCUUAAAUAAAUUUCGUCCUCGAAAUUAGUCAUACCUUAAGGUUCAGGCUUUAAAAGUAUUCAACAUCGAGUCAUCCUCGAGAUCUCAGUUAGUCUCCCUCUUAAAAUGCUUGCUCAUAAGAUUUUGGCAAAAUCAUGGCAUUCCAAAACUUGAUUCCUUCCAUAUAUGAUAUAGGAGUUCUUUUGAUCUCAUCCAAAAGAAGACUAAUCUUCCCACCUUAGAUUUUAAAUGCUAUAAUCCUUGGCCCAAGAAAUUAAUUGCUCUCGAUUAAAUCCACACAAAGAUCGUAAUCGGCUUAACAGAAAUAGGUGAGACCAUUAGCAUCAAAUACUUUUCAUAAUCUAUUAGCCUUUUUCUUCUCUUAACCUUGCCUACAAUUUAAUGAUCAACCUUUAUCCUAGCAAAACCUCAAACCCUUUUCAAAUAGAUAGAUCGAAAAUAUCAUAGAUAGGAGUAGGGAGUAUUCCAGGUCUAAGCCCAACCAAGGAACCAUCAAUCCGUUAAUACUAAAUUUAAGAUGCUCAAAAUCUCCCAGGAAUUGCCAACAAUAGAAAAAACUCACUAGUGAAAUUAUAUAGCUAUCUCCAGAUUAUUCAGAGAAUCAACAACACUUUUCUCCAUUAGAAAUCUAAGUCAAAUCUUCUAAUAAUUCUCCUUAUCAAUACAACUUUAUCAGUAGAUCUUAUCAAAAGAGUAAGGCCCAUUACUUCGACAUUUAGUUCUUUUAAUAGGUGAUCUAAUUCAAGCUUCUUUUUUUUUUAUUUUGGUGCCAGAACAUCAUUAAUAUUCAUUUAAUUGAUUAUCACAAGAUCAUAAACUACUGCACUUUAUCCAUUGUAGAACAUUUGAGCCUAAAAUAUUCUUUAACAUUGAAAAUUAUUCUCAGAAUUUACUAAAUGACUUCCAAUCAAAAUAUUAAUCUUGCAUUAUAAUUUGCAAAAAUCUAAUAUUUCACUUUCCAACUAAACAAAGGAGAAACUCUUAAUUCUCAUUCUCAGAUAUAUUUUCUUUUUAUAUAAUAGUUUCAUGCAUAAUUGUCAUACAAAUUUCAUCCUCGAAGAAUAUAAAAUCUUUCCUUGUCCAAGUCUUAAACAACUUAUGAAUGAACCCUAUCUUGCUAUCAAAAUAAUUAACUUCAAACUAGAAGUAUUAUCCACCGUACUCAGUAUCAAGUUAAACUUCCAAAAUUACCUAUAUACUGAUACACAAGUAAUCACAAUGUACUUUAACAUUCCAUGGCUAGUACUCUACUUAAUAUCAAUCAAAAUCUAAUUUAAUCAUAAUCCAAAAAAAUACAAAUUACUCCAUCGAGAAAUCUCCAAAAUAAUUUAUUCUUAUUUUGGCAUGGCUUGCUAGCAUUCUGGUUCAAAACACCAAAAUUCUUAAUAUUCUUAAAUCUUAAACUCUGAUAUCAUACCUGUCACAAUCAUGCCCCUGGAAUGGCUUUGUAUUAGCCCUAACUUUUUUCUUUUUGUUGCUCAUUAUCACCUAUCAAAAUAUUUGUGUCAAGCAAUUUUCGUGACUGACCGAUGAUACGACCAAUAAAAUCUUUUCUUUCUUUCCAGUUAUGCGGAAUCUCACUAAAUGAGACUUAACUACCCAUUUCCUUAUUAAAACUUAAAAUUCUUACUCAUGGUUAACCUAUUGCUCUGAUACCACAAGAAUGUCACGCCCCGGACCCGGAUCCGUGACACGGCCAUGUUAUUGCCGACUACCGCCCACAAUAGCACGCAGCCUCAUACAUGGGUAACAGGGUAGUCAAACCAACCUAAUCUUUUUAUAUGAAAGCAUUCUUAGUACAACAUGCUGGUCAGUACCCAAAUACAGAGCUUCUAUGUAGUUUAUGUACACAAAAGUAUACUUGCUUUACCCCAAAAGAAAGAAGCCCUGAUACAAAAUUAAAGUGUCUCUGGCAACUUUCAGUGGUGAGGAUCUGAAGAAAAAAAAUGUAAAUAACGGAUAUGAGCUACACAGCUCGGUAAGUAAUCAUACCUAAUCUUACCGGAUCAAACAUAAUGAUGACUAUGUUUAUGCAGGGUUUGAGAAGCUGACAUGCAUAUUAUCUCAUAAUUUAUCAUGGCAAAAUAUGUAUGCUGGAAAAACAAAGCAGUAUUUUCAGUCAAACAGAAUUUUCAUAAAACAUGCACAUGAAACCGUGCCCCCGGCAUGCCGUAGUCCAUUCUCUCGGAUGCUACUGCGAAGUCCAUUCGGCCACUGGCGGGGCCAGCUAGUCAUUCUCGGCCACUAGCAAGGCCAGCUCAGUUGCAUUCGAUCAGUAGCAUCUUUGAGCCCAUUAUAGUGCCUCUUGGCUAGAUAGUAUUUCAUUAUACCAACUUGCAUGCAUGAUUAAAGUAUCAGCAUAAUCAUGGUGCAUACAUGGCCAUAGUUUAUGAGAUCAUGCAAGUUACUUAUCCAUCAUAACAUAUCAUGCAUGAAUAACACUUUAAAAACUUAACAAACAUAGUAACAUGAUCUACAAUAAGAUUAAAAUAGAUUACAUACUUUCUUCAUAAAUCAUGUAUACAAUUCAAAUUGUAUGAAAAACAUUGGUUCAUCUUAUGAAACGUAAUACAAGAUCUACGAUAAGAUUAAGAUAGAUUACUUACUUCAAUUCGCUUUCCAAAUUUCUCAAGUCCAGGUGACAAAUCCUUAAUCACCUAAAACAACACCAUAGGGAUCACAUUAUUCCCCAUUUAUUUAUUAUAAAAUUUCUUAGUUCAUCAUACUAUGAACUUACUUGCUUGGAUCCCAUCCAAGGAUCUAGCCCAAGUCCAAUUUACCCAAUUUAGAGCCUUUGGGGCUCAAUUUAAAACCAGAUUAGGUCCACAUGGGUUGAUUGGGUUUUUAAUUAAAGGAUUGGGCCUCGUUUAUAAUUGGGUCCAGCCAAUUGGGCCCUCUGAUUUGGUCAAUGUGGCUCUUUUGGGCCUGAGUCAGGAUUAGCCCAAGGUCAAUUCGACCUUCUGUCAGUUGAAUUGGGCUUGAAUUGAGCUUGAUUCACAAUCAAUUAGGUCUGUUGAGACCAACUCUGCUUAAUUGGGUUCGGACCCAUUUCAAUUUAACUUAAAUUAGCUCGGAUUUAACCCAAUUUAUAGUUUAGGCUCGUCCAGACUUAGCCCAAUCUAAUUGAGCUCGGAUUUAGACUUAGCCCAGUC